rnacentral:misc_RNA from 1 species
AAGGAUCAUUAUUGAAUGCACUGGAGUCGGUUGUCGCUGGCCUCUUCACUGAGGCAUGUGCACGCCUUCUCCGUUCAUCCACACACACCUGUGCACUUGUGAGACGGACUAACCCUUCCGAGGGGAUGCCCCGUCUAUUAUACAUAAACUCCAAUAUAUUAAAUUUGAAUGUAAUCAGAUGUAACACAUCAUUGAACU